rnacentral:rRNA from 1 species
UUAGGAGAAAAAGAAAUCCGAGAUGUGAGAAAGGAGAAAAGGAGGAGAAGAGGGAAAGAGGGCGGAAGNCAAGGCUCUGAAGGGCGAUCGGGGAAAUGUGGUGUAUGGGAAGUGCCNGUCUUACGAGCUCCGACGGUACAAGUCCCCCUGACAGGGUCUCUGUCCAGAGUGGUUACCAGAUCCGUCUCUCCCUCUCCUNCUCGUC